GGGGGUAAUAAUUUCAGAAGAGUACUCAUUUCAGAAUAUACCAAAAGGUCUAACCUGUGCAAAGCAAAACAAUGCUAUGUAGCUGUCCUUAUCUGCAAAGAAAGCAGCAUCUCCCAUAUUCAAGAAUGUCGCAAGACAUUGCUCCUGCAAUCAAUAUGCUCGAGUCACAUAUGUUUACCUUUGCUCAUAUUUCAGGAAAACACUCCAUCAAACAGUACACAAUUUGUCUCCUACUGAUUGGUAUGUACUCUUUUUAGUUUUUUUCCCCAAGUGUGGCAUUGAAGUGUUUGUUGUACAAUCUACCGCAAGAACCUUGGCAAUAUAGAGUGCUUUAUCUCCCAGAUAAAUGGUGCUGAUAAGAUUUGGGCAAUUA